UUAAGUUCAGCGGGUAUCCCUACCUGAUCCGAGGUCAACCUUGUGUGAUGGGUGCGGGCACAACGGCGGCAACCUAGAAAGCUGGAGAUUUUACUACGCUUGAGGUUUAACCACCAUCGCCGACGUCUUUAGGGGGCGCCCCAAAGGGCGGCACCCAAUACCAAGCAGGGCUUGAGGGUUGAUAAUGACGCUCGAACAGG
rnacentral:misc_RNA from 1 species